rnacentral:rRNA from 1 species
UACAGAGGGUGCGAGCGUUGUUCGGAAUUAUUGGGCGUAAAGGGCGCGUAGGCGGUGCCACAAGUCACUUGUGAAAUCCCCAGGCUUAACCUGGGGCCUGCAGGCGAAACUGUGGUGCCUGGAGUGUGGGAGAGGUGCGUGGAAUUCCCGGUGUAGCGGUGAAAUUCGUAGAUAUUGGGAAGAACACCAGUGGCGAAGGCGGCUCACUGGCCCGUAACUGACGCUGAGGUGCGAAAGCGUGGGGAGCAAACAGGG